GCUCCGGUGGUGUAGUGGUAAGAGCGUCUGCCUCCGAUGCGGGAGGUCAUGGGUUCGAACCCCGGCCGAGUCA